UUGCUCCCUGAUGUUAGCGGCGGACGGGUGAGUAACACGUGGGUAACCUGCCUGUAAGACUGGGAUAACUCCGGGAAACCGGGGCUAAUACCGGAUGGUUGUUUGAACCGCAUGGUUCAGACAUAAAAGGUGGCUUCGGCUACCACUUACAGAUGGACCCGCGGCGCAUUAGCUAGUUGGUGAGGUAACGGCUCACCAAGGCGACGAUGCGUAGCCGACCUGAGAGGGUGAUCGGCCACACUGGGACUGAGACACGGCCCAGACUCCUACGGGAGGCAGCAGUAGGGAAUCUUCCGCAAUGGACGAAAGUCUGACGGAGCAACGCCGCGUGAGUGAUGAAGGUUUUCGGAUCGUAAAGCUCUGUUGUUAGGGAAGAACAAGUGCCGUUCAAAUAGGGCGGCACCUUGACGGUACCUAACCAGAAAGCCACGGCUAACUACGUGCCAGCAGCCGCGGUAAUACGUAGGUGGCAAGCGUUGUCCGGAAUUAUUGGGCGUAAAGGGCUCGCAGGCGGUUUCUUAAGUCUGAUGUGAAAGCCCCCGGCUCAACCGGGGAGGGUCAUUGGAAACUGGGGAACUUGAGUGCAGAAGAGGAGAGUGGAAUUCCACGUGUAGCGGUGAAAUGCGUAGAGAUGUGGAGGAACACCAGUGGCGAAGGCGACUCUCUGGUCUGUAACUGACNCUGANGANCGAAAGCGUGGGGAGCGAACAGGAUUAGAUACCCUGGGUAGUCCACGCCGGUAAACGAUGAGUGCUAAUGUUANGGGGUUUCNGCCCCUUA
rnacentral:rRNA from 1 species